AUCUUCCGCAAUGGACGAAAGUCUGACGGAGCAACGCCGCGUGAGUGACGAAGGCCUUCGGGUCGUAAAGCUCUGUUGUUAGGGAAGAACAAGUACCGUUCGAAUAGGGCGGUACCUUGACGGUACCUAACCAGAAAGCCACGGCUAACUACGUGCCAGCAGCCGCGGUAAUACGUAGGUGGCAAGCGUUGUCCGGAAUUAUUGGGCGUAAAGCGCGCGCAGGCGGUCUCUUAAGUCUGAUGUGAAAGCCCACGGCUCAACCGUGGAGGGCCAUUGGAAACUGGGGGACUUGAGUGCAGAAGAGGAGAGUGGAAUUCCACGUGUAGCGGUGAAAUGCGUAGAUAUGUGGAGGAACACCAGUGGCGAAGGCGGCUCUCUGGUCUGUAACUGACGCUGAGGCGCGAAAGCGUGGGGAGCGAACAGGAUUAGAUACCCUGGUAGUCCACGCCGUAAACGAUGAGUGCUAGGUGUUGGGGGGUUCCACCCUCAGUGCUGAAGUUAACACAUUAAGCACUCCGCCUGGGGAGUACGACCGCAAGGUUGAAACUCAAAGGAAUUGACGGGGGCCCGCACAAGCAGUGGAGCAUGUGGUUUAAUUCGAAGCAACGCGAAGAACCUUACCAGGUCUUGACAUCCUCUGCCACUCCUAGAGAUAGGACGUUCCCCUUCGGGGGACAGAGUGACAGGUGGUGCAUGGUUGUCGUCAGCUCGUGUCGUGAGAUGUUGGGUUAAGUCCCGCAACGAGCGCAACCCUUGAUCUUAGUUGCCAGCAUUUAGUUGGGCACUCUAAGGUGACUGCCGGUGACAAACCGGAGGAAGGUGGGGACGACGUCAAAUCAUCAUGCCCCUUAUGACCUGGGCUACACACGUGCUACAAUGGACGGUACAAAGGGCAGCAACACCGCGAGGUGAAGCGAAUCCCAUAAAGCCGUUCUCAGUUCGGAUUGUAGGCUGCAACUCGCCUACAUGAAGCCGGAAUUGCUAGUAAUCGCGGAUCAGCAUGCCGCGGUGAAU
rnacentral:rRNA from 2 species